GUCUCUGUGGCGCAUCAGUUAGCGUGUUAAGCUGUUAACUGAAAGGUUGGUGGUUCAAGCCCACCCAGGGACG
rnacentral:tRNA from 1 species